GAUUUGCAGAAAUAAUGAAACAUAAUCCCAAUUAUUAUUAAGCAAUUAUAAUUGCUAUCUUUCAACAGAACAUACUAUCAACUUUUCUUUUAUUAGUGUGGAUUGCAGUCAACCCUCGGCGAGCAUAAUAUAUAACCGGUAAGACUGCUGCAGAAGAGCGCAUCAUGCACUCAUUUGCAGUUGAUGCAGCUGCAGGAUAUAGGCUUCAGCGAGCAGUAGCCGAACGGCUUGCCGGGCUGGUUGCAGAUGAUUCGGUGACAACACUUCAUUUGCCGGCAUUGGCUN
rnacentral:lncRNA from 1 species